GCCAUCGGCCUAACCACUUUGAAUACCUCGGUUCUCGUCCAAUCACCGAAGCUUAAGAACGGUAGGCCCGGGUAGUACUUGGAAGGGAGACCGCGUAGGAACACUGGGUGUUGAUGGCA
rnacentral:rRNA from 1 species